rnacentral:rRNA from 1 species
AUGCAGGUGCGGGAUCAUUUAUGUGAAAUGUUUACAGAUCCGGGGGAGAGGAAGAACUACUCUUUUAGCAGGGAGAAGAAGAACGAGGGAUUGGAGCUCGACGCACAAUUUGCAUCUGGAUUCAAGCACAACAAGCUGGCCGUGCUCAGGAUCUAUGGGUUUCGGCCAGAAGAGAAGUUCAUUAGCUACAUUUGGAGUGUCAUGGAAGUAUCCGUGGGUCUCGAAAACGUAUACCUUUAUGACAUGAAAGUGUGCGGGAGAUGUCACCCCGUGAUUCGAAAGUCAUCCAGAUACCCAUGGAAACCAAGGCACAAAAUUUCACUCGCAAACAAAAUCAAGCGGAUGCGCUCGUCCGUGAAGGUUCACUCCUGCCGAAUUCGGAAGAUUGUUAGUGUUGACAUGCUCUUUUGCCUUAAAAGCGAGAUUGUUAUUACACAACUAAGUUGUCCUUUUGAUGCAUUGCAUGGUGGCUGGCAGUAG